UGGCCCAUAGCAUAUUUGUUCUUCAGAUCACUCGCGAUCCCUCUUCAUCUUCCUCUACCUCUUCCUCUUCCUCUUCCUCUUCCUCUUCCUCUUCCGUUCUUCCUUAAGUACUCAAUCAAAAAAGUUUGUAGCAUGAAGGUAGAGAGAUCAAGCGACUGAGAGAGAGAGAGAGAGUGGUGUGGAAACAAAAGCACGAUCUAAGUUUUUCCUCUCAGAUUUUCCGAAAACGGUAGUCUCCGAUCGGAGCUUUUAGACAUUCCGACAGAAGCAUAAAAAGAUCGUUCCUUUUGUGUGUCUAUGUGUGUGAGGGGGUUUGUCGGAAAAAUGGAGCGGUACGGUCGCGCCGGUGAAGAAGGGCCGUGAUCAGAUCCGUCGAUUGAAUGGACCUCUCAUGGAGUCCAAACCGGAGUCGAAGCUUCGGUGUGGCGGUUAGGGUUAAGCGGCGGCGGAGCAGGAGGAGGAGGAGGAGGAGGAGAAGCGUACCCGGAGCGAUCAAAUGAGCCUGAUUGUAUUUAUUACUUGCGUACCGGCAUUUGCGGGUACGGUUCAAGAUGUCGGUUUAAUCACCCGCGAGAUCGUGGAGCGGUUGUUGGGGGUGUGAGAGGAGGAGUUGGAGAAGAUGGAGCUUUACCGGAUAGAAUGGGACAACCGAUUUGUCAGGUUUUGUAUACUCUAUCUCUGUCUUAAAAGCAAUGCAGUUUCAGUUUGUCUUCUUUGGUUUCAUAUAAAAGCUGUGAACUUUAGAUUGUUUUGUUCUGUUUUUGGUUUUGAUCAGCAUUUUAUGCGAACAGGAACGUGUUUUUUUUUUUUUUUUUUUUUUGUAACGGACGAACGGGAACGUGUAAGUACGGUGCUUCUUGCAAAUAUCAUCAUCCCAGACAAGGAGGAGGAGGUUCCGUUGCUCCUGUCUCUCUAAGUUCGUGUAAUGUUUCUUUUGUGAAGAGCCCACACGACCACACCGUAUCAUGAGGGCUCUGUAUUCACUGUUGGACGCCAAGGAGAUGAUUUAUCUAUCAAAAGACCUUCUAUGCCCAACACCCUGUGUGAAAUCAAGCAGUAUGAUGUAAGGACAUCUUAUGUGCCCCUUUUUGAUCUCAGUCGCUUUAAGGACAAAAACCUUUUUUCUUACGUAAUUAUUGUGCAACACGGAAAUCCAUCGGUUGCAACUCUGAAGAGAUAGCUUUACGUGAAGGUUAAUAUCUUCCUAAGGACCUAAUCUGAACCACCCAACGCAGGUCUGCAACAGCAUGUCUCAGUGUUUUUGAAGGCCAACUGAGGCAUAUUUCAUAUAUAUGUAAUUGUGACUCUUGAGUUUGAGAACAAUUACUUUUUUUCUAUAAUCUUAAAAGUGAUGAUUAUUAUAUUUACAUUUUUGUUAA